rfam:Otolemur garnettii contig177923, whole genome shotgun sequence.
UAGAGCUUGGACAGUUCUGGGCAAGCUGACUAAAUAUGAUUCUGUUGCCCAGGCUAAAGUGCCCUGUUGCCAU